rnacentral:lncRNA from 1 species
UAGCAAUUGCAGACAAUCAAGCAUCCCCGAAUCCUGAAGCUUUUUAACAACCCUUAAAACCUGGAUCGUUGUCAACCCGAACUUACCUUUCUCACCCGAGGUGGAUCCGAAAUGACCCGAGUGUUUGGUUCUCAGCUUGGCUCGGACUCCAAUCACGGGUCGAACAGAAAGUUUCUUGCUUAUUUCAAUAACCAAAUCCACCUCCUCCUCUUCUUCAAGAACAAUUACAGUGUUCAACGCGAGCUUCCUUGCUAGCAAGGCAAGGAAAA